AACGAAGUAUGUCGUCUUUUUCGGUCUUUAAUUGAGUGCAGAGUUGGGAUAACGGAGUUUCGAGGGCGAAGACGCGGUACGGAGAGUUCUACAAAAGGGACACUACUCAGUACGCGGAAGUCUUUCUACGACUAAACUAGCAUUUAAUUAGUGACGACAUUUUUACUGGAGAAUUCUGUGAUAAUAUGAAAAUAUUUUGUUGUCAAUAAUUGGCAUUAAUAAUUAUGAAUGUUUUGUUCAUAUUUUGUAAAUAAUUUAAACGCUGAUGUUGAAGGUUAAACUGUUUAUUUAUGAAAAAUUGUUGUUGUCAAUAAUUGGCAUUAAUAAUUAUGAAUGUUUUGUUCGUAUUUUGUUGAUAAUUUAAACGCCAAUGUUGAAGGUUAAACUGUUUAUUUACAUUAAUCAACGGCUUAAUAAACUAACAUUACAUU
rnacentral:misc_RNA from 1 species